CGGACUCAUAGAGGCUGAAAACAGUCUUCAGAUGUGAAACUUUCUCAUGAAAAGAGUGGCUGUGCCGUUUUGUGUUCCCAUGAGCAGUGAAUGAGAGUUCCUGUUGCUCCACGUGCUUGUCAACUUUUGGUGUUGUCAGUGCUUUGAAGUUUAGCCAUUCUAACAGGAGAAGCGGAGCCCUAUGUCACAGAGCUGCACACACACCUGGCCCAGGAAUCAAAGAAGCUGAAGUUGGAGUUCAGGCAGGAGUUGGAGGAGCCGCUGGCCAGCUGCUUCCUUGCACUAACAAGGGAAUGCCUUACCCAGGCAGUGAGAGGUUAAAAAUGAAUUGUGUCACCAGUUGAUUAGGAGCCAACGGACUGGCAAGCUGUGACCCACAGAGAGAGUGGCUCUAUUUG
rnacentral:lncRNA from 1 species